AAAGAUGGUUUUACAUCCCCUGUCAUAACAAAGAAGGAUUGCCAACUAUUUAUUUCAGUGUUCCUAAUUGUUGUCAGAAUGUGACCUAAAAUCUGACACAGAAUUUUUCAAAGUCAGGCUCCCACCCGGCAUGUACAUUUAUCAACGUUUAUUCCACACUCACCUAUGCAGCAGCACUUGUGAAGGUCUGUUUUUAUUUAAUUCUCAAGAUUUUGUUGUUAAUAGGAAAACUGUCUCAUAAAUUAGGGAAGUGCUCAAUUACAAGCCUGACAGAGAUUGAUUUUGGUUCUGCUGUUGGUCACUACCAGCAAGUGAAGGCUGCAGAAAUCACAACUCCAGCUAAUGCUGGAAUCACUUCAGAGGUGCUCACUGAACAAGUGUUCAUU
rnacentral:lncRNA from 1 species